rnacentral:tRNA from 1 species
GGCGUCGUGGCCAAGUGGUAAGGCAGAGGUCUGCAAAACCUUCAUCACCGGUUCGAAUCCGGUCGACGCCUCAA